CCUACGGGUGGCAGCAGUGAGGAAUAUUGGUCAAUGGCCGUGAGGCUGAACCAGCCAAGUCGCGUGAAGGAAGAAGGAUCUGUGGUUUGUAAACUUCUUUUAUCGGGGAAUAAAGGUAUCCACGUGUGGAUAUUUGCAUGUACCCUAUGAAUAAGCAUCGGCUAACUCCGUGCCAGCAGCCGCGGUAAUACGGAGGAUGCGAGCGUUAUCCGGAUUUAUUGGGUUUAAAGGGUGCGUAGGUUGUUUUGUAAGUCAGCGGUGAAAGUUUGGGGCUCAACCAUAAGAUUGCCGUUGAAACUGGAAGACUUGAGUUUGUUUGAGGUAGGCGGAAUGCGUGGUGUAGCGGUGAAAUGCAUAGAUAUCACGCAGAACCCCGAUUGCGAAGGCAGCUUACUGGGCCAUAACUGACGCUGAGGCACGAAAGCGUGGGGAUCAAACAGGAUUAGAUACCCGUGUAGUC
rnacentral:rRNA from 1 species